rnacentral:rRNA from 1 species
CUGAUGCGUUGUUGGGUAGGGGAGCGUUCUGUAAGCCUGCGAAGGUGGCCUGUGAGGGUUGCUGGAGGUAUCAGAAGUGCGAAUGCUGACAUAAGUAACGAUAAAGCGGGUGAAAAGCCCGCUCGCCGGAAGACCAAGGGUUCCUGUCCAACGUUAAUCGGGGCAGGGUGAGUCGACCCCUAAGGCGAGGCCGAAAGGCGUAGUCGAUGGGAAACGGGUUAAUAUUCCCGUACUUGGUGUUACUGCGAAGGGGGGACGGAGAAGGCUAUGUUGGCCGGGCGACGGUUGUCCCGGUUUAAGCGUGUAGGUGUGUGUUCCAGGUAAAUCCGGUUCACUUUAACACUGAGGCGUGACGACGAGGCACUACGGUGCUGAAGCAACAAAUGCCCUGCUUCCAGGAAAAGCCUCUAAGCAUCAGGUAACAUCAAAUCGUACCCCAAACCGACACAGGUGGUCAGGUAGAGAAUACCAAGGCGCUUGAGAGAACUCGGGUGAAGGAACUAGGCAAAAUGGUGCCGUAACUUCGGGAGAAGGCACGCUGACACGUAGGUGAAGUGAUUUACUCAUGGAGCUGAAGUCAGUCGAAGAUACCAGCUGGCUGCAACUGUUUAUUAAAAACACAGCACUGUGCAAACACGAAAGUGGACGUAUACGGUGUGACGCCUGCCCGGUGCCGGAAGGUUAAUUGAUGGGGUCAGCGCAAGCGAAGCUCCUGAUCGAAGCCCCGGUAAACGGCGGCCGUAACUAUAACGGUCCUAAGGUAGCGAAAUUCCUUGUCGGGUAAGUUCCGACCUGCACGAAUGGCGUAAUGAUGGCCAGGCUGUCUCCACCCGAGACUCAGUGAAAUUGAACUCGCUGUGAAGAUGCAGUGUACCCGCGGCAAGACGGAAAGACCCCGUGAACCUUUACUAUAGCUUGACACUGAACAUUGAGCCUUGAUGUGUAGGAUAGGUGGGAGGCUUUGAAGUGUGGACGCCAGUCUGCAUGGAGCCGACCUUGAAAUACCACCCUUUAAUGUUUGAUGUUCUAACGUGGACCCGUGAUCCGGGUUGCGGACAGUGUCUGGUGGGUAGUUUGACUGGGGCGGUCUCCUCCUAAAGAGUAACGGAGGAGCACGAAGGUUGGCUAAUCCUGGUCGGACAUCAGGAGGUUAGUGCAAUGGCAUAAGCCAGCUUGACUGCGAGCGUGACGGCGCGAGCAGGUGCGAAAGCAGGUCAUAGUGAUCCGGUGGUUCUGAAUGGAAGGGCCAUCGCUCAACGGAUAAAAGGUACUCCGGGGAUAACAGGCUGAUACCGCCCAAGAGUUCAUAUCGACGGCGGUGUUUGGCACCUCGAUGUCGGCUCAUCACAUCCUGGGGCUGAAGUAGGUCCCAAGGGUAUGGCUGUUCGCCAUUUAAAGUGGUACGCGAGCUGGGUUUAGAACGUCGUGAGACAGUUCGGUCCCUAUCUGCCGUGGGCGCUGGAGAACUGAGGGGGGCUGCUCCUAGUACGAGAGGACCGGAGUGGACGCAUCACUGGUGUUCGGGUUGUCAUGCCAAUGGCACUGCCCGGUAGCUAAAUGCGGAAGAGAUAAGUGCUGAAAGCAUCUAAGCACGAAACUUGCCCCGAG